UUCACCACUCAAGCCUAGCUUAGUGUUGGGCUUUGGGAUGCGCCUCGAAACGCUCGGCGGCGUGGCACCGGCUUUAAGCGUAGCAGAAUCUUUCGCUUUAAAGGUCGGGGCCCCGUCUGCCGGAAGACCUACUUAUAA
rnacentral:misc_RNA from 1 species